GGUGCCUGCAGGCAUAGGCAGUGCGCACCAAGCAGAGCCCCCAGGCCCUCCGCCUAGGGGUGGGACAUGGAGGCUGCUUCUGGGAGCAGCGCAGAGCCCUGGCAGGCAGGUAGCCUGUCUUAGCCCCACUGCGCCACCGACCGGGAGCCAUCUGAGGAGCUGAUCAACAGCCCGCUUCCCCCCCAACAUGGAGCUUUGAAAGGGCAUUUCCGCAUUCCUGCAGCCAAUUUCACAACAAUGACAAGAGUGGCCACUUGACUUAAGCGGAUUAUGGGACAUUUCUGGAGGCUGAUCAGAGUGCAGUAAAGCAACACCUCGUUCACACUGGCGCUCCAGCAGGAGCGCAGCAAAUGUUAUUCCACUCGCUGAGGUGGAGUACCAGCAGCGCUGUAGCCACAGAGUCAGACCGCUCUACGUGACUUGCCAGUGUGGACAGGUAGUGAGCUAGUGCGCCUGGGGCUCCUUUAUUGCGUUGUAACUCACAAGUGUACCCAAGCCCUUACUUCAUGUUUUUGUGUUGACUAGUUUUCAAGUAGACUGCCUCUCUCAGGAAGUUUGAUCAUCCAAAAAUAUGUCUGAUUCAGAGUGAAGCAUACUUUGGCUAAUGUGAACUAGUAAUAAGAAUUAAUUGAACUACUUGGUUCCUGCUUGAUCAUGAAGGGAUCAGACACAAAAAGGACAAGGAAGAGCUGUGUAUAUUGGGGAGGGUGGGGGAAGAGGGAGAGAGAGAGAGUAGCAUUUGUGGUUUCUUCCAUGUUUGUAAUUCAGAUGCUUAAAAAAAAGCAUAGGUCUUACUAGUCACCUUAUGAGUUAUAAAUAACACUUUUUAAUAGCAAUGGCAUACCUCAGCCAGUGCACUCCAGGGGAAUUACAGCACAUUUCAGAUUGUUAAAAUCAAUUCAGCCUCAAACUUGUACCUUAUAGCAUCACUGAAGUACUCAAGCACAAAGGAAUGCACUUUUAUUGUAUAUUUGAACCAACAAAUCUCCUGGUUAAAAAGUAAUAGAAUACUGAACUUCCAGAGACACACAAGAUUUCCAGAAGAAUCAUUUCAGCAUUUAUUCUUUCAGCUGUAAAUUCAGGAGGCAGGCAGAUACUUGACUUCAAUAUUUUGUUUACGAAUAUACAGAUACUUUGCUAUUAUACUGUGAAGCAGAAGACGACAACAGGCAGAAGACAAUGUGUUGGUUUAUAGCGCUAUCACACGACCACAAGCUUGUGAAAGCUUUUGUUCAGCAAUAGACUGGCAAAGUGAAGAUAAAAUACGCUUAUACAUUUGUUCAACUUCAGAACGGCAGCAAGUUAUUGUAGCAAUUGGAAUUUCAGACAUUUAAAACAUUUUACGCUCAUUAAGGUUAAAACUAACAGCUCUGCAAACUGAAAUCCUACAGUGACAGAACCUAUUGCAUAGACACCCGAUGCAGCAUGUUACUUCAUUAAUACAGUCAACAUGAUCUGGAGAUAAUUUCUGUUGGCAAGAGGUAAUUUAACUUAACGUGAGUUAAGCUCUGUUUCUCCUCUAUGCAGCCCAACUUCAGUAUAUAUUUUCUGAUAUAGACUACAGUCAAGAGAAACUGAUCCUAAAUCAAAACAUUUUGUUUAAUACUAGAAACCGAGGGCUGAAUACAGAUUUAAACAUUGGUUGCUCUUGCAGUCAGUGGAAGACACACUGUUUUAGUUGUUGAAUCUGACCUAAAGUCAGGUUUUAAGAAAUGAUCAGAUACUUAGAAAGGUAACAUCCCCAACAUCAGCACAUUCUGCAUGCAUGCACACAUACAUUGACGCAUUAGAAAUACAGCCUCUCAUCACUAUAACAUUAAGAAAAAUCUACAACCCAGAAAGCUAAGCAGGAUAACAAUCUGCUUGAAUUACUAGCAUUUCUGCCCCACUCAAAUCCAAACAAUGGAUGCAUUGUUGGUUUUUUUAGAACCUUACCAUUUCAAGCCAGUGGCUCAUGUGUCCCCCCUGCAAAAAAAAAAACAAAAAAAAACCAAAAACAAAAACAAAAC